GACGAACGCUGGCGGCGUGCUUAACACAUGCAAGUCGAACGGAAAGGCCUCUUUCGGGGGGUACUCGAGUGGCGAACGGGUGAGUAACACGUGAGUAACCUGCCCUUGACUUUGGGAUAACUUCAGGAAACUGGGGCUAAUACCGGAUAGGAGCUCCUGCUGCAUGGUGGGGGUUGGAAAGUUUCGGCGGUUGGGGAUGGACUCGCGGCUUAUCAGCUUGUUGGUGGGGUAGUGGCUUACCAAGGCUUUGACGGGUAGCCGGCCUGAGAGGGUGACCGGCCACAUUGGGACUGAGAUGCGGCCCAGACUCCUACGGGAGGCAGCAGGGGGGAAUAUUGCACAAUGGGUGGAAGCCGGAUGCAGCAACGCCGUGUGCGGGAUGACGGCCUUCGGGUUGUAAACCGCUUUCGCUCAUGACGAAGCUUUGUGUGACGGUAGUGGGUAAAGAAGCACCGGCUAACUACGUG
rnacentral:rRNA from 1 species